rnacentral:lncRNA from 1 species
AGAGGAUAGGGACAUUAUUAGGGAUCUAAAGGCUGAAGGUUAUGAAGAUAGAAAGGUUGAAGAAGACAGUCAAUUUAUAACUAGAUGGUGCCCAAUGGAUUCAUUUUGAUUACAAGAUCUUUGGAGAUUGGGUCAUAAUAGUUUUCAAGAGGUUACCUAUACUACAUUGGCACAUGGACACUACAUUGAGGGAGAUGAAAGGAGUCCAUGGCAUGCCAUACAAAGAUAGAGACAAAUUUAGGAGGGAAAUCCUGAUAGGUGAAUUUAUUUGAAAUACCAUUUGGCAAUGAUAUUUC